rnacentral:sRNA from 1 species
UGAGGCCCCAACAAUCAGUCCUCCUCAUUGCCCAGAAACCUCGGGAUGAACUCAGUCCAUGGUUCCAGUGACAGCCUUAGUGCAUCUUUAACUUCCUUCUCAUCCCUAAAACUGGGUUAAUAAUUUCCAUCUAUACAUCAAAGAAUUUGCAUGAAUUAGUGUUAUCAUUUAACAAAGAAUAUUGAACACAUGCUUUCACAAAGGUUUUGUACUAAGGCUGACAUAAUUUAUGGCCUCUUGGAAUGUGCAAUAUGGCAUCACAAUAGAGAAAGCCAAGAGUUCCAUGGCAGCAUUUAACCAUAGGUGCUUGAGGAGACACGAGGACGAUCAGUAAAGGCAGUCUUCAAGAAUACGCAGGAAUGGCCAGGCGACGGGGAGGGGUGAGGAUCAAGGGAAACAGACUGUAGGGAAGUAGUCCGUCUUAUAAUGGAGGAGGGAUGUCCAUGAGGAAGGCGAAACAGCUGGGCUAACCUCAGAAUGUUCAGUGGGUUAGUAUAAGACACCGGAGGGGAAAAGAACAGAUCUGAAAUCCAAUCAUACGGAGCCUUGAAGGCUGUGAGAAAGACACCAGCCAACCUAAAAUCAGCGGGAAGCCACUCGCUCAUGAAAUUCUUCAAUACAGAUUGAUUUGAUUAUAUACAAUGAUACAAAACAAACUGUUUCUGGGAGUGGAAAUCUGCCUUCUGAAAAUGGAAAAAACGAUGAAACUUCUAACCACUGCACAUCAGCAUCAUUAGUGCUGUUCAUGGCUUUCGUCUCUUGCUUCUAAACGAGAGAAAAGGAUACAGAUGGAGACACGUGAGGUGUAGUUGUAACAGGCGGGACUGGCUUCCACCUGAUUUUGAAAGGUGUCAGUUUCUGAUCACAGAUGGACUGCCCAAGAUCUUCCACUUUGCUCCAGGAUUUUUCCCCUGAGCGCUAAAAAUUUCAACAAAUGCGCCUCCCUGG